UACCACUAUUGAGAAAUUGUUUUGACAAACAUCAGUAAAAGCUCAUAUUUCAUGGAUAUUACUGUAGAGCACGUGAUACAAUAAAUGUUUGUAAAGUAAAGAAAGGUCUUGGUUUGACCUAGGAUUGGCACUAUAACGUCAUGGAAGAUCUUUAUAAAUUGAGGCAAUUCCGAUAAUGAUUUCAGCUUCAUUAGAAAAUUGUCAGGGAUCACAGCUGACUUAUUUCUCUUUUUCGGAUUUGGAGGAGAAAACUCUAAUUGUCAAUAAAAAUGAACCGAUUGUUCUUGUUCGUGCUUGCCGUAGCAUUGCUCAUUGCCUCCGCCCUUGCCUUUCCAAAAACGAUGGCAAAAUCGGGAAUGUGGUCUGAAACAAAGUUUUGUCAAACUAAAUGCGACAGAAGAUUAGAAUACUGUGAUGCCCUAUGUACCAUCAAAUAUGGCGAAGAUCGUACUGGAGAAGAUCCGUUCCAAUAUAAAAGAUGCCUAGAUGAUUGUGCUAACACAUACCUUUACCAAUGCCUCAGCAAAUGCUUUUAAUUGAUGAUUGAUUCAAAAGUUGGAGAACAUUGUCAAUAGAAUGAAUGUUUAUGUACAAUAAACAUUUUAAAUUAAAAAGAUCUUUAAACAUCUUACAAUUUCGCCCUUCCUUUUCAACCCAUGAGUAAUCUUCUUUAUCUGUGAUAUUUGUUCAUAGUAUUUGAAUGUAUGCCUAACAAAUAUUGUCUUUGUCGCUACUUAUUAUACAGGCUCAAAAUUAGGCAAUUAGACAAUGUCUGAUUAAUAAAUAAAUACUUUUGUUAUUUUGUUAAGGGCGUAUCAAAUAUCAUUAUAAAAAUCGACAAAUGGCUUACACUUUUUUGUACUCAGGAUUAAAAAAUAAAUAAACGUAACAAAAUGA